UGUGACAGUGCAGACAGCGUAUGAUGAAGACCUCUGGUGCUAAAUGGCAGUGGCUCGAACUCUGACAAACUCUUUUCAGCUGGCAAAGGCGAUUUUGAAAUAUCCAAACAGAU
rnacentral:ribozyme from 1 species